rnacentral:rRNA from 1 species
CCUACGGGAGGCAGCAGUGAGGAAUCUUCCACAAUGGGCGAAAGCCUGAUGGAGCAACGCCGCGUGAAGGAUGAAGGCCUUCGGGUUGUAAACUUCUUUUAUGAGUGAAGAAUAUGACGGUAACUCAUGAAUAAGCACCGGCUAACUACGUGCCAGCAGCCGCGGUCAUACGUAGGGUGCAAGCAUUAUCCGGAGUGACUGGGCGUAAAGAGUUGCGUAGGCGGUAAGUCAAGUGAAUAGUGAAACCUGGUGGCUCAACCAUACAGACUAUUAUUCAAACUGGCUUACUCGAGAGUGGUAGAGGUCACUGGAAUUUCUUGUGUAGGAGUGAAAUCCGUAGAUAUAAGAAGGAACACCGAUGGCGUAGGCAGGUGACUGGACCAUUUCUGACGCUAAGGCACGAAAGCGUGGGGAGCGAACCGGAUUAGAUACCCGGGUAGUCCACGCCGUAAACGAUGGAUACUAGCUGUUGGAGGUAUCGACCCCUUCAGUAGCGAAGCUAACGCGUUAAGUAUCCCGCCUGUGGAGUACGGCCGCAAGGCUAAAACAUAAAGGAAUUGACGGGGACCCGCACAAGCGGUGGAUCAUGUUCUUUAAUUCGAUGAUAAACGAAGAACCUUACCAGGGCUUGACAUCCAGGGAAGGUCUAUGAAAGUAGACUGUGCCUUUUGGAACCCUGUGACAGGUGAUGCAUGGCCGUCGUCAGCUCGUGUCGUGAGAUGUUUGGUUAAGUCCAUCAACGAGCGCAACCCUUGUGAAUAGUUGAAUUUUUCUAUUCAGACUGCCCCGGUAACGGGGAGGAAGGAGGGGAUGAUGUCAGGUCAGUAUUUCCCUUACGUCCUGGGCUAGAAACGUAAUACAAUGGCUGGUACAAUGCGCAGCGAAGCCGCGAGGUGAAGCAAAUCGCAUCAAAGCUAGUCCCAGUUCGGAUUGGAGGCUGAAACUCGCCUCCAUGAAGUCGGAAUCGCUAGUAAUCGCAGAUCAGCAAGCUGCGGUGAAUACGUUCCCGGGUCUUGUACACACCGCCCGUCAAACCAUGAAAGUGACCAACACCCGAAGUCCGAUUCGUCGGCCUAAGGUGGGGGGCAUGAUUGGGGUUAAGUCGUAACAAGGUAUCCGUACCGGAAGGUGCGGAUG